UACGGAAGGCAGCAGUGGGGAAGUAUUGCACAAUGGGCGCAAGCCUGAUGCAGCCAUGCCGCGUGUAUGAAGAAGGCCUUCGGGUUGUAAAGUACUUUCAGUCGUGAGGAAGGUGUUAAGGUUAAUAACCUUAGCAAUUGACGUUAGCGACAGAAGAAGCACCGGCUAACUCCGUGCCAGCAGCCGCGGUAAUACGGAGGGUGCGAGCGUUAAUCGGAAUUACUGGGCGUAAAGGGCACGCAGGCGGUUAAUUAAGUUGGAUGUGAAAUCCCCGGGCUUAACCUGGGAAUGGCAUUCAAGACUGGUUAGCUAGAGUCUUGUAGAGGGGGUAGAAUUCCAUGUGUAGCGGUGAAAUGCGUAGAGAUGUGGAGGAAUACCGGUGGCGAAGGCGGCCCCUGGACAAAAGACUGACGCUCAUGUGCGAAAGCGUGGGGAGCAAACAGGGAUUAGAUACC
rnacentral:rRNA from 1 species